CUUCCUAAAUCAAGCCAAAACCUUGCAAUAGAUAUGUCAUCUCAAGAAUCAAGUCUACACGUGAAUUUCGAUCACGUCAAGCAACUGUUUGUGUAUGGCAGGUUUAGCUUCGGAAAGUUCUCAAUUUAAAGCUAAGCAGUAUGACACUAAGAUGAAUGAAUUGCUGGCAUUAUUUUCAUCCAAAUUGAAUAGGCUGCAUUAUUCUAUGUCAAAAUUGGUGAAGAAUUGGUGAAGAAUAACACUGUCAGGAAUUUGUGGAAAGUGCACAUGUUAAUAUUAUGUACUUUAGAACAAAUUAAUGUCCAUUAAUCAAUUCUAGAAGGUUGUUUUGAACCUUUAUAAUGUUUCACUAUAUUAUGUUGAAACUUUGUUUCACUGUUAAGAAUCUUUUUUCAAAGAUUAUCCUUUAAUCAUUGUGUGUAAAAAGAGAUGGUUAAUUGUUUAUGGUGAAAUGGUUGAACCGAGCUUACAUAAGUUUGAGACAGUGAAUACGGGUGGUCCGAACAUGGAGAAGCAAGAAUCUUCAGGAAGCAGCAGCUUAAGUGUCAGUAGUGCAAAACAUCGGCAACGCAUUUCUUCUUCUU